rnacentral:rRNA from 1 species
UACGUAGGGUGCGAGCGUUAAUCGGAAUUACUGGGCGUAAAGCGGGCGCAGACGGUUUGUUAAGCAGGAUGUGAAAUCCCCGGGCUCAACCCGGGAACUGCGUUCUGAACUGGCAGGCUAGAGUGUGUCAGAGGGGGGUAGAAUUCCACGUGUAGCAGUGAAAUGCGUAGAGAUGUGGAGGAAUACCGAUGGCGAAGGCAGCCCCCUGGGAUAACACUGACGUUCAUGCUCGAAAGCGUGGGUAGCAAACAGG